UACGUAGGGUGCGAGCGUUAAUCGGAAUUACUGGGCGUAAAGGGAGCGUAGGCGGAUAGUUUAGUCAGAGGUGAAAGCCCAGGGCUCAACCUUGGAAUUGCCUUUGAUACUGGCUAUCUUGAGUAUGGGAGAGGUGUGUGGAACUCCGAGUGUAGAGGUGAAAUUCGUAGAUAUUCGGAAGAACACCAGUGGCGAAGGCGACACACUGGCCCAUUACUGACGCUGAGGCUCGAAAGCGUGGGGAGCAAACAGG
rnacentral:rRNA from 1 species